rnacentral:SRP_RNA from 1 species
GCUGGGUGUGGUGGUGGGUGCCUGUAGUCUCAGCUACUCCGGAGGCUGAGGCAGGAGAAUAGCGUGAACCCAGGAGGCAGAGCUUGCAGUGAGCCGAGAUCGCGCCACUGCACUCCAGCCUGGGNNNNNNNNNNCCCAGGCUGGAGUGCAGUGGCGCGAUCUCGGCUCACUGCAAGCUCUGCCUCCUGGGUUCACGCUAUUCUCCUGCCUCAG